CUAAGGGAGGUAAUAAAAAUUAAGCAAAUUAUUUCCCCCUUUUUAUCUUUCUGCAGGCAUGUGCCGGUAUAAAAUAUGGGGUCAGAAGGAGUGACUUCCACCUGGGCUACAGACACACGUGUGCAUAAUGGGUUCCUGACAUCUUCUUCUGCCCCAUUUUCGUCCCCGCCAGGCUGCCCCUGCCCAGCCGCGUAUGAAUGAACAGAAGUGCCUUUCAUCCCCCACUUGCCUGGUGCUUCAAAAGGAACUACGAAAAUAGCAGCAACAAAAAUCCAGCCGCCUGCCAAAAGGCCCGCACACGUCCCAUUCUCACAGGCAUGCGAAAGCCACAGACAAUUUCUGUUGGGAAAAGUGCCAUACAGUAUCGACAGUGACAACAAAUUGUAUUGUCCGGUGAACAUCUGUUUCCGACUCCCACACUGAUACUGCAGGUUGGCUACCUCUGAUUUAGUCUUCACAGGCUGCCCAACCGCAGAGGAACUGGAAAUUACUGGUGCAUUCAACUUUUAUUAUUGGAACACAGGAAAACUUUAUCAUCAUGCUGGGAAGUUGUGUGUCUUUUGAAAUAUUGCAAGGAGGAUGAUGUGAGCACAGAAAGCCACAUGCGACAGUUCUUAUGAAGGAGAAGAGUGACUUCUGUUCAUUGUGUCUGUCCAUAYGUAGAAAGAAGGAGAGCAAGAAACUCCACUGAAACUCCUGUUAACACUAAUUAGAGUUGCCAGCAUGCAGCAGAAUCAAAGGCAAAACAUGUGGAGCUCCCACUGAAGUCAAGAGGAGAAGGGUAUGACUUAAAGGAGAG